AUGGAUUCUUCAACUUGUUCCAUUUAUUUAUGCUUCAUGUUGCCACAUACUAACAAAGCAGUGGAACACAAGAUUUCAAACUACACUUUUUAUGAGCAAUUUCCAAAAAUGCAAUAUAAUGAUGAUAAAAUACAGAUCAGCUACAUGAAUCAACGGCUAAAACAAGUUUACACGAAGAACUGCAACAAUAGCAUGCACCCCUUUUGUCUUCAAAUCAAUUCAUCAACUGCCACUC